UGGGGAAUUUUGGACAAUGGGCGAAAGCCUGAUCCAGCAAUGCCGCGUAUGUGAAGAAGGCCUUCGGGUUGUAAAGCACUUUUGUCCGGAAAGAAAUCCUUGGCUCUAAUACAGUCGGGGGAUGACGGUACCGGAAGAAUAAGCACCGGCUAACUACGUGCCAGCAGCCGCGGUAAUACGUAGGGUGCAAGCGUUAAUCGGAAUUACUGGGCGUAAAGCGUGCGCAGGCGGUUUGCUAAGACCGAUGUGAAAUCCCCGGGCUCAACCUGGGAACUGCAUUGGUGACUGGCAGGCUAGAGUAUGGCAGAGGGGGGUAGAAUUCCACGUGUAGCAGUGAAAUGCGUAGAGAUGUGGAGGAAUACCGAUGGCGAAGGCAGCCCCCUGGGCCAAUACUGACGCUCAUGCACGAAAGCGUGGGGAGCAAACAGGAUUAGAUACCCUGGUAGUCCACGCCCUAAACGAUGUCAACUAGUUGUUGGGGAUUCAUUUCCUUAGUAACGUAGCUAACGCGUGAAGUUGACCGCCUGGGGAGUACGGUCGCAAGAUU
rnacentral:rRNA from 1 species